UACGAAGGGGGCUAGCGUUGCUCGGAAUCACUGGGCGUAAAGGGCGCGUAGGCGGCCGAUUAAGUCGGGGGUGAAAGCCUGUGGCUCAACCACAGAAUUGCCUUCGAUACUGGUUGGCUUGAGACCGGAAGAGGACAGCGGAACUGCGAGUGUAGAGGUGAAAUUCGUAGAUAUUCGCAAGAACACCAGUGGCGAAGGCGGCUGUCUGGUCCGGUUCUGACGCUGAGGCGCGAAAGCGUGGGGAGCAAACA
rnacentral:rRNA from 1 species